UCGAAUCGAGAUAAAAUUAUCCAAUAACCUGGGCGUGAGUUACAUGUGAAUCCAGAAUAUUUCACCCGCCGAACAUGAAUUCUCCGUCAGGGCAAUCCCGGCAGCACCACCCUGCAGCGCGUAAUCGCGGGAAGUUCCAAUCGGAGGCGGAGAGAUUGAGCGCCGACGUUGGAGGACUCGAAGCUUCGUUGUUUCAGAUGGUAAAUGAUCACCAGUACGCCUCUCUCAAGCUACGAGAGAACUCCGAGAAGGCGAAGAAAGAUGCUAUUCAGAAGGCUUUGCGCGUUUCGGAUCUCUUAGUCGAUGCCGUGAAUGGUGGAGUUCAGGGGUCUUUUGUCAAUCAGAAGUUGAUUGAGCUUGAAAUUAGGGCUUUAUCGACCACGAUUACCCGAUUUAUGAAGCAGACCGAUCAAUGGCUCGCCGCCACUCACGCUCUGAACACUGCUGUUAAGGAAAUUGGAGAUUUUGAGAACUGGAUAAAGACCAUCGAUUUCGAUUGUAAGAGCAUCACUACUGCCAUCCAUAACAUUUAUCAAGACUGAAGUACUCGUCGCAAAAGAGUGAACUGUUUUUUCCUUCACCGUGCUCAUUCCGGUGAGUUGAAAAAGAUAUAGAUCCUCACUCACUCUCUGCUUUAAGUUCACUGAAUGUGUGCCCCCAUUACAUGGCCUGAUAAGUUCUUGUGAUAUAACGAUACAAAGGUGCAGCAUAUCCAGAUGGAAAUUCCUAUAGAAACUUGGAGCACCUGAGUACCCAACUUCGCUGCUACCUCACUAACUCUGUAAAAUAAUUUGUCCACUCUUCUUUUUUUCGAGUUCAUUGAUUUCUUCCUUAUUUUAACACAGUGGUAUCAAUUUGUGUAUUUAUUGCUCAUGUACGCUCUUCAUAAUUAUCUGAAAUAUUUGUUGGGUUUAAAAUGUUUUGAUCUAAAUUUACUAUUGACCACAAAGUUCCUAUGGCUUAAUCGAAUCAUCUCCUUAAA